rnacentral:rRNA from 1 species
AUUGAACGCUGGCGGAAUGCUUUACACAUGCAAGUCGAACGGCAGCACGGGGGCAACCCUGGUGGCGAGUGGCGAACGGGUGAGUAAUACAUCAGAACGUGCCCGGUCGUGGGGGAUAACGUAGCGAACGUUACGCUAAUACCGCAUACGAUCUGAGGAUGAAAGCGGGGGACCUUCGGGCCUCGCGCGAUCGGAGCGGCCGAUGUCAGAUUAGGUAGUUGGUGGGGUAAAGGCCUACCAAGCCGACGAUCUGUAGCUGGUCUGAGAGGACGACCAGCCACACUGGGACUGAGACACGGCCCAGACUCCUACGGGAGGCAGCAGUGGGGAAUUUUGGACAAUGGGCGCGAGCCUGAUCCAGCCAUUCCGCGUGCAGGACGAAGGCCUUCGGGUUGUAAACUGCUUUUGUAUGGAACGAAAAGGCUCUGGCUAAUACCUGGGGCUCAUGACGGUACCGUAAGAAUAAGCACCGGCUAACUACGUG